rnacentral:rRNA from 1 species
GACAGAGGAUGCAAGCGUUAUCCGGAAUGAUUGGGCGUAAAGCGUCUGUAGGUGGUUCUCGAAGUCUACUGUCAAAUCCCAGGGCUCAACCCUGGACAGGCGGUGGAAACUACCAAGCUGGAGUACGGUAGGGGCAGAGGGAAUUUCCGGUGGAGCGGUGAAAUGCGUAGAGAGUCGGAAAGAACACCAACGGCGAAAGCACUC